CUUACAUUCCACAACCAAUGCCCCGCCCAGUCUUUUAGUUUCACACAUUCAUACAAUCAAUUAUUUGCAAGUUGUCCUUUCUGCAUUUUGCGUUUUAAACUCAUGACUUUUUCAUUGUUGGACGUUGUUUUCUACUGCGGAAACAGAGGAGACUGAAACUGCUCUCGGUAGGUGCUCUGUGGGGGGCGCUGCUCCGGCGCGGCUGGACGGAGGCGGAGGGGGGUCACCGCUCUCAGGGUGCAAAGGUCAAAGCUCCGCUGGUAGUUUUCCCCCGGAGGAGACUCGCUGAGGAGUCCAGACCUUCUGCUGCACAGUGUCCUGAACAGGGAGGAAUCGGUUCAUUCCGCCGUGAGAAGUGACGAGUCACCACGUAAAUGCACAAGAGUACAGAUCAAAUCAUCUCAAAGCGUAAUUUGACCGUACCCACAAUCCUGUGGGGGGGCGGUGUGGACCCUGGCCAGCUGUCCUGGAUACAACCCGUGCACAUCUCUGCCCAGACGAGACCUUCUGGAAUGGAAAGUUCUCUCAGAAUACGCAGCGUUUCUGUAACGAGCCGCCUCCUUUCAAACGGGGGGGGGUGGUUACGAUCGCUGCCCCACUCACGUGGGUUUAGAGGCGGGGGGUCCGUCCAGCUCCUCGGAGUCCUGAGAGCUCCUGGACUCAUGCAGCCUCACAGCGGCACCGGAGCCCCCCAUCAGGGGGAGGGGGGGGGGGGGGAGGCCCUCACGGAGACCGGGAGCCCUCUAGAGGGCGCAGGAGAGCCUCCAGGGCUUCACAGAAGAUGUUUGAUCACAGUGGAAGAACAGGACGAGUCUGAGACCAAACGGAGCUGAUGAUAAAAAGAUGAGUCGUAGUGGAAAAGCACAGGAUCCCAUAACGGACGGAAGAACAAAUCCAAUCAGCAGAUUAAUCCAUCGUCAAAAUAACCAUUGGUGAAUAAUUCAGCCAGCUCCACUUUAACAACAGUACAAUCCUGCUUUUACGUGAAUAUAAUGAAAAUAAUCUCAUGAACAACGUAUCCUAGUAGAGCCGUCACAGUAAAGCAUCUGGAAACAGACCAGCUGUUACCAACCUGUAAAGCAGCUUUACGCUCUAGAAGGAUCAUUUCGUUUCUCUUUGAAAGCAGAAACAAAUAAUUGACGUCUUCAGCUCUAAAGUG
ensembl:lncRNA